GCUCAAAUGAUGAAGCUCGGGU
rnacentral:siRNA from 1 species